rnacentral:rRNA from 1 species
GACGAACGCUGGCGGCGUGCUUAACACAUGCAAGUCGAACGGAAAGGCCCUGCUUUUGUGGGGUGCUCGAGUGGCGAACGGGUGAGUAACACGUGAGUAACCUGCCCUUGACUUUGGGAUAACUUCAGGAAACUGGGCUAAUACCGGAUAGGAGCUCCUGCUGCAUGGUGGGGGUUGGAAAGUUUCGGCGGUUGGGGAUGGACUCGCGGCUUAUCAGCUUGUUGGUGGGGUAGUGGCUUACCAAGGCUUUGACGGGUAGCCGGCCUGAGAGGGUGACCGGCCACAUUGGGACUGAGAUACGGCCCAGACUCCUACGGGAGGCAGCAGUGGGGAAUAUUGCACAAUGGGCGGAAGCCUGAUGCAGCAACGCCGCGUGCGGGGUGACGGCCUUCGGGUUGUAAACCGCUUUCGCCUGUGACGAAGCGUGAGUGACGGUAAUGGGUAAAGAAGCACCGGCUAACUACGUG